GAAAUGCGAUAAGUAAUGUGAAUUGCAGAAUUCAGUGAAUCAUCGAAUCUUUGAACGCACAUUGCGCCCCUUGGUAUUCCGGGGGGCAUGCCUGUUCGAGCGUCAUUACAACCCUCAAGCUCUGCUUGGAAUUGGGCACCGCCCUCACUGCGGACGCGCCUCAAAGACCUCGGCGGUGGCUGUUCAGCCCUCAAGCGUAGUAGAAUACACCUCGCUUUGGAGCGGUUGGCGUCGCCCGCCGGACGAACCUUCUGAACUUUUCUCAAGGUUGACCUCGGAUCAGGUAGGGAUACCCGCUGAACUUAAGC
rnacentral:misc_RNA from 1 species